rnacentral:rRNA from 1 species
GCAUAUCAAUAAGCGGAGGAAAAGAAACCAACAGGGAUUACCUCAGUAACGGCGAGUGAAGCGGUAACAGCUCAAAUUUGAAAGCUAGCUCUUUUAGGGUUCGCAUUGUAAUUUGUAGAAGAUGCUUCGGGUGUGGCCCCGGUCUAAGUUCCUUGGAACAGGACGUCAUAGAGGGUGAGAAUCCCGUAUGUGACUGGGUGCUUUCGCUCAUGUGAAGCUCUUUCGACGAGUCGAGUUGUUUGGGAAUGCAGCUCAAAAUGGGUGGUAAAUUUCAUCUAAAGCUAAAUAUUGGCCAGAGACCGAUAGCGCACAAGUAGAGUGAUCGAAAGAUGAAAAGCACUUUGGAAAGAGAGUUAAACAGUACGUGAAAUUGUUGAAAGGGAAGCGCUUGCAACCAGACUUGCGCGCUGAUGAUCAUCCGGGCUUCUGUCCGGUGCACUCGUCUGCGCUCAGGCCAGCAUCGGUUUCGGUGGUGGGAUAAAGGCCUUGGGAAUGUAGCUUCUUUCGGGGAGUGUUAUAGCCCUCGGUGCAAUGCCGCCUACCGGGACCGAGGACCGCGCUUCGGCUAGGAUGCUGGCGUAAUGGUUGUAAGCGACCCGUCUUGAAACACGGACCAAGGAGUCUAACAUCUAUGCGAGUGUUUGGGUGUCAAACCCAUACGCGUAAUGAAAGUGAACGGAGGUGAGAACCCUUAAGGGUGCAUCAUCGACCGAUCCUGAUGUCUUCGGAUGGAUUUGAGUAAGAGCAUAGCUGUUGGGACCCGAAAGAUGGUGAACUAUGCGUGAAUAGGGUGAAGCCAGAGGAAACUCUGGUGGAGGCUCGCAGCGGUUCUGACGUGCAAAUCGAUCGUCAAAUUUGCGUAUAGGGGCGAAAGACUAAUCGAACCAUCUAGUAGCUGGUUCCUGCGA